rnacentral:lncRNA from 8 species
GUUGCAUUGGCUCAAUGAUAUAGGCUAGGGUUACCGAACUGAAUGAAUCAGCCCACUGCCACCCAUAGGCGAUUUGUCAGAAGUCCCUCCCUGCACAUUCAUUCCCAAUUCUCACCGCUGCCCGGUCACCUGACAAUUAAACGAAAUUCUCGGUUUUGUUCAGCUCUCAUCCAGUCGCAUUGAUGAUGAGCAGGAUACAGGAGGACGCAGUAUGGGUUGAAUGAAAUUGGAAAAAGGGAGUCAGCGGUAUUGUAAUAAUUUAUUUUUCUACAAUGGACGAGCCAAACAUUUUGAGACGUCGUGGGCUGCAGAAAGAGCUGAGCCUUCCACGAAGGGGAAACAUGUAAGUAUCACUAAAGAACAUCACUGGUUAUCACUGCUCUUGUUACACUAUUUGAUACAAAAUCACAGGGUGUUACAAGGUGUUUUUAUAUGUCAACAAUUUAUCAUAGUAGCAGACAUUUUACUUGGCACUUCCAUGAGAGGCAACACCUCUUAAAAAGCUGCGUAUGUGGUUUCACAGUGAGCGCUAGUGCCUAGUGGUAAAACGGAGGAUGCAGAUACUAGUAAGCAAUGUUCCCUCUAAUUCUUUGAGACAUUGCGCAAAUUGUAGGCCUUUUGAACAGAAACUUGAACAUUGUGAGAAUUUUGUGCAACUUCCGGCGCACGUUUACAGUGAACACUGAGGCUGUACCUUUACAGUUUGUGACAGUAGCUAUUGUGGCUAUCUGAGCAUAAUGUGGCCUAAUAACAAAACCAAGGGAGAAAAUCCCAUACAUUUUUCACUUGGAAAUAGAUGUUCAUUUCCAUGAUAUAUCCUACAGUAGCAUAUAUGUGGUGUUAAGUGCAGGUCUACAUUGCAUGAGACUUUUAAAACGUUUUUACAUUAUGAAGGGCUUGACAUUCAUUAAUGAUCGUUUUACUUGGUCUGUAACACCAUGGGCCAAAUAGGUGACUGUAAAUUGACUUGUAUGAUGCAAGAAACCACUUUACAAAAUAAAAUGAAUUAUGACCAUACAGAGAAUUAGACAAUGUAGGCUACUCCUCUGCAUAUUCAAGCCUAUCUUGAAAUAAAACACUGCCCCUUUUAAUUAAGACAUAAGCUUUUUACCUGAGUGGAUUUUCAAAGACAGCUUGAAAUGUAGACUACACAUUUUGUGCUAUUGUAGGAAGCAGUAACACCCCAUUGCUGACCUAUACUUAUAUAGAACUGGGCGAAUAACUCGCUAACUAGCAAAGAAUAUCAACAAAAGUCCACACGCGCAGCUCUCACCGCUCGUGGACUACCCCGCCAAUAUAACUCUACUCUGUUGCGCUCUGGCUCUGCCUACAACAUUGUGUUGCUGCCUCAACAAAAUCAGAGACUCAUUCUUGCAAAGUUAGAUUUGUUUUGGUUUGUUGCAUUGAAAAAGGGGCUGACAAUGUUUAUUCGAUCACGGGAAAAAAAACGUUGAUCUAUAUAGUGCAAACUAAAGGGGCGUACUCAGUGAAGUUCAAUCUCUUGUGUCUCUGCGGCAUGGCAUUUCCUCUGCGCGGCAGACCUGGAGAAAGUGCGCUGCCGCGCAAGGGCGCAGUCUAGAGGGAACAUUACUGGUGGGGUGAAAUAUAUUUUACUUAACAGUAAAUGUGAUUUUUUAAAAAAAAGUUAAAGUGUACCUCCACACAUUGUAUGAAAAUACCAUAUGUAUUGUGUAUAGUCCUGAGGCAUGCGCUGUAAGGCCUUGUCGACUAGUCUGGAAAUACACAUUUGGUUACGCAAUUCAAUAUAAAUAAUUUCACACAUCAUGCACUGGAUUUUACUCAUGUUUCAUAAUGACAUGUCAGUCAAGGCAAAGGACAAGAGUUGGCUUGGUGAGUAGACUGAAUGGAAAACAGAAAUGAGUGGGCAGACCCAUAUUUGGUCCUUAGCCACUUUAGUGGAGUGAAGUAAUGUGGUUAAACAGUAGGCCUACAGACUUGCAAUGAGUCUAACACACCAUUCAAACCAAUUCUUUUCCCAACAACUUUUAGCAUCCCGCCAACUUUGACGACUUUUCUUAAUAUAUGAAAGGUAUUGCCGGCAACAAAGCCUCUACUUUUUUAUUUCCGCCAACCGACGUCAUGGCAUUGGCACGCAAAACGCUCUUAAGCUCUAGAUGGUUGUUAGGCAGCGCCCGUUACUAGUAUCCAUCUGCCUGUUCUAAACUUUGUAAGGCAUGUCACUUCACCCAUCUCUUCGCAUAGCCCAAUACAUGCACUUUUUUCUUAACCAUAACUGGAUGGAUCCAUGAAGUAUUACUGUGGCAAUAUAUCACUGAAAGACGAAAAUAUUGGAAUAAAGUAGGCUAAUGCAAUUGAAGGCAUCAAAUUGUUUCUUACUGAAACUCCCAAAGUUAUCCAAUUGUUAUAAAACAGAAGCAUUUCAGCACCAUUUUGCGCUGAUAAAUCAAUGUCAGAUUUUUCUUUUCACUGAAUUUCCAUGUGGAUAUUGGUUAGUCUACGUCUACCAUUAGGCUGUGGAAAGUUGAGGUGAGUGCUGCUCGUGAUCAUCUUGUCUAGUUGGCUCAUACAUUAGCACUGAUCACAACAUUUUGCCAGCAUGUUAAGUAGCAUAAAGGAAAAGUCCACCCAAACACGAGCUUUUGAUAUUUGUUUCAGUUGUUGAUGUAAAGUGCAUUCAGAAAGUAUUCACACCCAUUGGCUUUUCUCACAUUUUGUUGUGUUACAAAGUUGGAUUAAAAUUCAUUUCAUUAUCAUUUUUGAUCAACAAUCUACACAAAAUACUGAAAUGUCAAGGUGGUAGAAAUAUUCUAACAUUUAUCAAAAUUCAUGACAAAAAACACAAAUAUAUCUUGAUUAUGUAAGUAUUCAGUCCCCUGAGACAAUACAUGUUAGAAACACCAGUCUUUUUUGAGUACAUUUCUAAGAGCUUUGCACACCUGGAUUGUACAAUAUUUGCCCAUUAUUCUUUAAAAAACUCUUCAAGCUCUGUCAAGUUCAUUGUUGAUCAUUGCUAGGCAUCAGUGGAGGCGGUGAGAGGAGCUAUAGGAGGAAGUGCUCAUUGUAAUGGCUGGAAUGGAGUUUAUGGAACGGAGUCAAGCGUGGUUUGAUGUUUGAUUCCAUUCCAGACAUUACAAUGAGCCUGUCCUCCACCAGCCUCCACUGCUAGACAGCCAUUUUCAAGUCUUGCCAUAGAUUCAAGCCAAAUCUAGUCAAAACUGUAACUAGGCCACACGGGAACAUUCAAUCUUGUCUUGGUAAGCAACUCCAGUGUAGAUUUGGCCUUGUGUUUUAGGUUAUUGUUCUGAAUUAGUCUCCCAGUGUUUGUUGGAAAGAAGACUGAACCAGGUUUUCCUCUAGGAUUUUGCCUGUGCUUAGCUAUAUUCCAUUUCUUUUAAGCCAAAAAAUCUCCCUGGUGUCACAGUUUCUGUGUUUUUUGAUUGUUGCUUCCUUAGGUUACCGCUGGAGGGCGGCACCCUUACCGUUUUCCAGUCUCCAGGUUACGUUGAUUAUUUCUUAUUGGAUUCACCUGUGUUCAAUUACCUUCUCUGUUCAUCUGGUUGCCUUGUUAUUUAGGUUCCUCAGUUUUUUAUUUUCUUAUUUCACCUUUAUUUAUCUAGGUAGGCUAGUUGAGAAUGAGUUCUCAUUUACAACUGCGACCUGGCCAAGAUAAAGCAAAGCAGUGCAACACAAACAACACAGAGUUACACAUGGAAUAAACAAACAUACAGUCAAUAAUAAUGAGUCAAUAAUAAUUUGUCAAUAAUAAUAAAUAGUGCAAAUGAGGUAGGAUAAGGGAGGUAAAGGCAAUAAAUAGGCCAUAGUGGCGAAAUAAUUACAAUAUAGCAAUUAAAUUUGAUAGAUGUGCAGUUGGCCUGUAUUCUUACUUAGGUCUCGUUUUAUUUAGUGUGCUCUUUUGCGGUUGCCUUGUUUCUGUUUAGACUAAGUAAAAGUUCUGGAUUUACCCUUACCUCUGCUUGCUGUGUUUCUCUGCGCCUGGUUUAGAGUUCGUACUAGCAGUAUUGUUUCAGUAGACCUAAACCAACCAUGGAUCUAUGGACCGUCGUCCGAGGAACAUUCCGAACUUCAACAUUUACAGUCGGCUCUCACCCACCAUGGAACUGUGAUUGGUCGCCAUGAGGUGCGGCUGCAGACAUUGUCGGAUGAUUUAAGAACUCUUGCGU